rnacentral:rRNA from 1 species
UGGGGGAUAUUGCACAAUGGGGGAAACCCUGAUGCAGCAACGCCGCGUGAAGGAAGAAGGCCUUCGGGUUGUAAACUUCUUUUGUCAGGGACGAAAAAUGACGGUACCUGAAGAAUAAGCCACGGCUAACUACGUGCCAGCAGCCGCGGUAAUACGUAGGUGGCAAGCGUUGUCCGGAAUUACUGGGUGUAAAGGGCGUGUAGGCGGGACUACAAGUCAGAUGUGAAAUUUAUGGGCUUAACCCAUAAACUGCAUAUGAAACUGUGGUUCUUGAGUGUUGGAGAGGCAGAUGGAAUUCCUAGUGUAGCGGUGAAAUGCGUAGAUAUUAGGAGGAACACCAGUGGCGAAGGCGAUCUGCUGGACAAUAACUGACGCUGAGGCGCGAAAGUGUGGGGAGCAAACA